GAUGAACGCUAGCGGCAGGCCUAAUACAUGCAAGCUGAACGGCAAGUUGAAUAGCAAUAUCUGACCUAGAGUAGCGUAAGGGUGCGUAACACGUAUGCAAUCUGCCCGCAACAGGAGGAUAGCUUGAUGAAAGUUGAGAUAAGACUCCAUAAGAUCACAGGAGGGCAUCUGAUAGUGAUUAAACUACAAGGGGUUGCGGAUGAGCAUGCGCAUGAUUAGUUAGUGGCGGGUAACGCCACAAGACAAUGAUCAUUAGGGGAACUGAGAGGUU
rnacentral:rRNA from 1 species